UGCCCUGGAGCCUCCCAGCCCUUCUCACCAGUAGGUGGCUGUGGGUCUCCCGGCUCUCUGUGAGUGAGUGAAGAACUUCUGGAGGCGGCUUGCUGUCCGGGGACAACUGGAGAGGAGCACAAGCCCAGAGGCCUCCCUGGAGAAAGGAGACAAAUCACAGAAGUUAAAAUCCCCUGGGAUCACCCGCAAAAAAAGGAGACCCUGAGAAGAAACACGGACCUGCUGAAGGCUGAAGAGAAACAUCUGGACUACAACAGAGACCUCCUCCUGAGAAACAAAUCCCUACCAUCGCUGUUUUAUUAACAGUACCGAUCACUACCUGAAUAAAGACGGAGGGACAGGACACAACCUACUUUGCUGACAGCAGACCUCUCCUCCACUGGCCCAGCUUGGCCCCAGGAAGGGCCAUUCCCCGACUUGGACUGGCCCCUGGCCCUGCUUGAGGCUUGAGCUCCCUUACUCUUUGGAAUUUUCCCUCCACACGCCCCAGCCUCAUCAAAGUCUGCCCUCUACUGUUCACUGCCUAAAACUGAUGUGACUCCGUUAAUCUCCAAGCUUCCCGAAGGAAAGAAAGAAACCUAAUUUUCCCUAGGCUGAGAGGGCCCAGUGCAAAGAAACAGUGAUCAGCCAUUUAAGACUCACAUGUGAAACUCAGAUUGUCAGGAGGAAGGUAAGUUGGGACAAAUUCCAAACUUGAGCCACCUCCAGACCAACUCAGUUUAUGACUAACUUCAGAAGAAGAGCAAGGAGGCCACAGCCUCAGCAAGAGUUGAAAGGGAAUAGUUUAUCUGCUGAUGUAAACAUCAUGCCUCAUGCCAAAGGCCCACCCCAUGGACCCAGGACAGCACUGAGCCAGCCCUCCAGCAGUAAAUGCAAGAGCAGGAAAGCCCAGAAUAGAAAUGUUCUUUGCUAGCUCUGGCAGCUUCUCCUACACAUGGCUGCAAGGUAUGGGUUGGCUGCAGGGAAUGGGUCAGCUGCCAGAAAUAACCCUUUACACUUUAACUUUGGUAACACAGGCCUUUGUCUUAGUAUUUAAUAAACCCAGGUAGGUCUUAUAGUUAGUAAAAAAUGACACGUAUUUGAAUCUGAGAGACAGACUAAAGCACAUUCACCUAAAAACUUAGCCUUUCAUGCUUGUCUUGUUUGAGUUGCCUGACACUGAAAAAUGCCACCUUCACUGAGAAACUAAUACUUUGUGGCUACCCAAGAGUGCAUUUUGAAAUCCUAAGAUUGAGCAUUCUGAACACGAAAGAAAAACUGUGUAGCAAGGGAGGAAGGCUUCGAUGGAGAGUUACAUUGCAGAUUGACUAGUCUUGUCCCACUUACACACUUAACAGAUUGUAAUAAAAUAUAACAUUGAGAAGUUAGAAGAGUGCCUUCAUCCCACCCUCCCAAUCAAAGCCCUUCUUUUUUAAAAAAUUUUUUAAAAAUUGAAGUAUAGUUGAUUUCAAGGUGGCUCAGUGGUAAAGAAAUCUGGUUGCCAAUGCAAGAGACACAGGUUCCAUCCCUGAGUGGGAAAGAUCUCCUGGAGCAGGAAAUGGCCACCCACUCCAGUAUUCAUGCCUGGAAAAUUCCAUGGACAGAGGAGCCUGGGGGCCCUCUGGGGCCAACAGGAUCACAAAGAUUUGGACACAGUUGAGCACAAGCACAGAGCUGAU